AUUUAAAUAGUUUAUAUAAAACGUUAAUUUGUGGAAUUAAAGAUAUAAGAUAUUAUUUUAAAUC
rnacentral:tRNA from 1 species